GGUAGAGAGAAGAGCCUGGGAAAGCAGACACAGGAGGAAAUAGGGAGCAGACUUUAGAAAGAGCGUUCGAUCGGUCGAAAGCAGAGUUUCCCUUCAUGCUGGGAGAGACAGAAGGACCUUCUACAAGAUGGGGGCCUUACUAUGAAGCCCUGACUGGCCUGUAACUUGAGGCACUCCCCCUGCCUCAGUCUCCCCAGUGCUGAGAUUACAGAUGUGAGCUAUCGCAUCCAGCUGUUCACUUUCCGUUGACUGUGCCACCACACUUUGUGAUGCAGCGCAAUAACAACAGAGCUCAUGUGACCGAGCUCACGAGAUGAGGCUGACCACUCAUGUGGUCUUCCCUGGAAAAAUCUAGGGAUGUCAGAAGCUACACCUGUAUAGUCUCACCAACGUGACUGACUAAACAUGAGCUGAACAAGAAAAGACAACAGCAACACACAUGUUAACAUGGAUGUGGGGGAAAUCUUGAGGCCUCAAGCCUACACAAAGAACCACAAGCAGCUAAGGAUGCUGAGAGCGGGAGAAAUAGUCUUCCCCAGGUUUUUGUUGUUGUUUUUAUGUAUAUGUAUGUGUAUGUGAGUGAAUGCCACGUGUGUGCUGGUCUCUGUGGAGCCCAGAAGAGGGUGCUGGAAUUGCGGUUACAUAUACUUGUGAGCCACCUGGAGUGGGGGCUGGGAACCCGAGUCAGGUUCUCUGGAAGAAAGGCGAGUGCUGUUAACCGCUGAGCCAUCUCUCCAGUUCCUAUCGUGAUAAAGUCACCGUAGCACGCGCCUGUCCUUAUCCCUGUGUUCCGGAGGCUGGGGGCUUUAAAUGACCUUUCCGACAGCUAUCAACAGCAGCCAGUGCCCCGUCCCACUUAGCCACCAUGCUGCCAUCCUUCCUUUCCUGAGGGUGAGAAGUCGCUUCACAGCCAGGCAUGGCAGCUUGCACCUG